rnacentral:rRNA from 1 species
UACGUAGGGUGCAAGCGUUGUCCGGAAUUAUUGGGCGUAAAGAGCUCGUAGGCGGUUUGUUGCGUCGGCUGUGAAAUCCCGAGGCUCAACCUCGGGUCUGCAGUCGAUACGAGCAAACUAGAGUGUUGCAGGGGAGACUGGAAUUCCUGGUGUAGCGGUGAAAUGCGCAGAUAUCAGGAGGAACACCGGUGGCGAAGGCGGGUCUCUGGUCAACAACUGACGCUGAGAAGCGAAAGCGUGGGGAGCAAACAGG